AGCAGGAGCUGAAUGAGAGAGGCCAGACCGCAUCGCUGUUCAGAAUCCGCAAUGAGGUGAACAAUGGAUCAUCCGGAUAUUGCCUGUCAACCGAGCUACCUACACGCGCAGCGCUAAACGAUACUAGGUCGACCGCCGCCGGACCGAGGAUGGCAGAUUCUAGACACGAUUUGCGAGAACGCCGUUAGAUACAAAUACAGGGGCAGUCUCUCCGAGUACGUCUUGAUGAUCUCCGUCAUCUGAGCAAGCACCGAGUGAGCGCUCGUGUCUGUCGAUGUUACUUCUACUUCUAGCCUAGAAAUAAAAUUAUAAAAAUGUUUUAAAAUUGGAAAUCAGCAUCUCCAGAAAAAUGCUAAAUUGAGUAUAAAAAGUUC